rnacentral:tRNA from 1 species
GACCCCAUCGUCUAGUUCGGCCUAGGACACAGGCCUUUCACGCCUGCGACACGGGUUCAAAUCCCGUUGGGGUCG